AUGAAAUUCUUGGUUUGCGCCUUCCUCCUCAUCGCGGCCGCCGCUGCCCUCCCAGCCACCCCCGCUGACCAGGCCGCCAGCGAGCAGAUCGCCCCCGCCGCGGAGGACGCGAGCGCCAAGGAAAAGCGUGGACUCGCUCCCUACUACGGAUACGGCGCCUACCCAUACAGCAGCUACGGUCUUGGCUACCACGCUCCCCUCACCAGCGCCUACCACGCUCCCCUCGCCAGCGCCUACCACGCUCCCAUCGCCGCCCCCGCCUACCACGCCCCCAUCGCCGCCGCCGCCUACCACGCACCCCUCGCCAGCGCCUACCACGCUCCCUUGGCCAGCGCCUACCACGCUCCCCUCUCCUACGGAUACGCCGCUAAGGCUUACUCCCCAUACUCCCUUGGCUACCACGCUCCUCUCUACGGUCAUGGUUUGGGCUACAGCUACUACCACUAGACUGCUCUCUCUGUGAUUCCUAUCUCCUAAUACCUCUACCAAAUUUAGUUUGUCCUUCCUAUUUAUUGCUGGGUCUCCGCUCGGCACCAUCUCAGAUUCGUUUGUGAUAGUUACCUGAUAUCAAGUUGUCUCAUCUCCGAUAAUACUGCCCGAUCGGUGCGUUACGUUCACCGGUGCCAUUUUGAAAGAUUUUCUCUGAAAUUGUUCAAAAAUCAUGACCUCACUAUGACAAAAGUUCGUUUUAUCUCUGAUGUUUCACCUGCAAACUUUGAACACCGUGAAUGAUGAAACUAUAAUUCAAUCUUUUCUUGUAAAAUCUCAAUGUGCCAUCUAUAAGAAUUCUUCUUACAGCUGGUAUCCAACCAUUUGUGAGUCAUAGAAAAUAAUUUUUUACUUACAUACAAGAUACGUCUAUUUGGUCUCAUUCUUUGUUUAUUCAUUAAAUAAAUGAAUGAAAAACAACCUCAUAUCGAGCCUUUUAUUUUUUCCUACACUGACUACAUGUACCAAGUUUGGAUAUGUUCAUUGUUCCACUACUGAUACAUGUUCUCUCCAAAAAAAAAGCAAGAAAGAAAAAAAUACCUAGUAUGUCAGAUACAGAUAAACUGCAAAUUAAGGGAAAAAAUUUGCUCAAUACUAGGUAUAGGUUCAGUCAAAAAACUCUCGUCUUUUAUUAAAAAAAUUAGUUUUCUUAAAAUGAAUAGUAACAUCACAAAAUUAUUUACAACAUAUGAUAUAGCUUUUAAUUUCAAACUAAAAUUAAUGUGAGGGGAAAAU
rnacentral:lncRNA from 1 species